GCGGCGCUAGGACCCGGCGGGCCGCGGGUGCGGCGAGGCCUGGGCGGCCUGAGGAGCGCGGACCCCGGCGCUCGGCUCCCGGCGCCAUGUGAGGGGGCUCGGGGGCCGCGGGGGGCCGGGCGCUCCCCGCCGGAGAUGAGGAAACUGAGGCUCAGAGAGGUCACAUGGCUUGCUCGAGGCCCCCCAGCCAGUGUGAACCCACAUCCCUGCCCCCAGGGCCACCUGCAGGACGCCGACACCUACCCCUCAGCAGACGCCGGAGAGAAAUGAGUAGCAACAAAGAGCAGCGGUCAGCAGUGUUCGUGAUCCUCUUUGCCCUCAUCACCAUCCUCAUCCUCUACAGCUCCAACAGUGCCAAUGAGGUCUUCCAUUACGGCUCCCUGCGGGGCCGUAGCCGCCGACCUGUCAACCUCAAGAAGUGGAGCAUCACUGACGGCUAUGUCCCCAUUCUCGGCAACAAGGUAGCGCAGCUGCUUUGGGGAGCUCCUCCCUACUGCCCAGCAUCACCACUCCCUCCACCUGUUCUUUCCUAAAGGAAAGGUGGACCCUGAGAGUCAAGGCCCUGCCUCCGGUGAUUUCAUCUUGCUGCUUGCUGUGUGACCUUGGAUAAGUGCGCUGCCCCUGUCUGGGCCUCAGUUCUCUCCAAGUCCCCACCCUUAUUGCUAAUAUCC
rnacentral:lncRNA from 1 species